AAAAAUGUUUAAGUUUCAGUAUUUCACCGUAGUGACACGAUUAUGUCUCUGUUUCCUUCUAAUUUCCCCUCUAGUGCUAAAGGUAUUAGAAGAAGAGAUGUGACGUCCCCUUCAUCCUUCAAAGGGUCAACGAAUUGACCGGUGGGGGGGUGAAGAGAAGAGAAGAGAGAGAGAGAGAGAUUAGAAAUUGUGAAAAAAGGUAAUGAUCUGACAUAUUGUUGUUCUAGAAAAAUAUAUAUAUAUUACUUUAUACGUCUGAACUUUUGUGUCAUCAUUACAUUGAGGUCCCUUAACCUCAUAUUCCCAAAGAUAUCGCUCUCAUGCAUAAUAGCGCCAGGUUGGGCAGGCAGAUAGCCUGUGCACUGUCUGAAUGAAUGCAGAAGAAGAGGACUGUUCCUGGUCUUCACGUAAAAGAGGAAGAGAAAGAUUCUGACUGUCAAAAAUUACUCUCUGAACAGAAUGGGACAAAGACCUCUGUUCAUCUCAGCCAUUGGAACUGACUCUCACAGUGAUGCUGUACUGAACUACUCUCAGCACAUGUGCACCAGUGGCGUCGCCAGGCUUCAAGAGCAGAGGACCGCAACUUGUUGUGCCGUGAUGACUGAGAACGGUGACCUGAGUCUCGGAUUGGGCGACAUGCACAACCGCCAGCGAAUCACAGAACAGUAUGUGAGUAUUUCUGAAGCAGGUACGAGACAUCAAAGUCUACAUAUUUUUUGUUGUUGUUGAGAAUAGUACUGAAAUAAGAACAACUUUGCCCAGGACUAAAUUAGAAGGAAUGUCAAAAUAUUUCUACAAACAGGUGUCCCAGUUUGAGGAAAACCUUUCAUGGGUUUUCUCUUGUGUGUCUGUAUGGCAACCACAAUCGACAGUCGUCAAUAGUGAUCGAUCACCAUAUUUUUUCACCAUCAGUGUCACACCCUGAUCUGUUUCACCUGUCUUUGUGCUGGUCUCCCCCACCAGGUGUCUCCUAUCUCCCCUCAUUAUCCCCUGUGUAUUAAUACCUGUGUAUUCUGUUUGUCUGUUGCCACUUCGGCGUGUCCCGUCAAGUCCCACCAGCGUGUUCCCUGUGCUCUAGUCUUUGGUUGUCUUAGUCUUCACAGUUCUGACCUUUCUGCCUGUCCUGAUCCUGCCCGCUGUCCUGUACCUGCCUGACUCUGAUUUGGAUUACAAC